GAUGAACGCUGGCGGCGUGCCUAAUACAUGCAAGUCGAGCGAACAGACGAGGAGCUUGCUCCUCUGACGUUAGCGGCGGACGGGUGAGUAACACGUGGAUAACCUACCUAUAAGACUGGGAUAACUUCGGGAAACCGGAGCUAAUACCGGAUAAUAUAUUGAACCGCAUGGUUCAAUAGUGAAAGACGGUUUUGCUGUCACUUAUAGAUGGAUCCGCGCCGCAUUAGCUAGUUGGUAAGGUAACGGCUUACCAAGGCGACGAUGCGUAGCCGACCUGAGAGGGUGAACGGCCAAAAUGGAAAUGAGGAAAGGGCCAAAAUCCUAAGGGAGGGAACAGUAGGGAAACUUCCGGAAAGGGCGGAAGGCAGAAGGGGGAAAGGCGGGGGAGUGAAGAAGGGCUUCGGAUCGGAAAAAUCUGGUAAUAGGGAAGAACAAAUGUGUAAGGAACUAAGCAAGGCUUGAAGGGACCUAAUCAGAAAACCAAGGCUAAAUAAGGG
rnacentral:rRNA from 1 species